GGAAAGUCUGGCAAAACCCCCUUGCUUGCCUAUAUAAACCAAGAGUGUGGCCAUAAAGCGGAACUGCUUAGACGGAACCGGUGUGGUGUCUUAUUGUCUCUUGCUCGCCAAGGGGCUGGGUUGGCGCACAGCAGGCUCACCUCUCUUCGGGACCUCCCGGCUUUGUUGAGGAAAGUUCCACUGCCUCUCUCUUUCUGCGGAGCGCCCCCCCGCACCGAAGAAGAAUUUUCAGAGCAGGUGAAGUUUGCUUUUGAGGAUUUGUGUCUUUGAUUGGACGCCUGAAGCUGCUUAAAGCCUGCGGCACCGGAAAAAAAAAAAAAAAAAAAGUGUGGUCAUUACUAUCAGCCACGGCAAAGAAAUCCUCUUCCAGUUUGGAUUUUAAACUGACUUUUUCCAAAUAACAACAUCCUGUUUUUAAAUUAAUUGCAUGCUGCUGUUUACAUUGUAAAGGACCACAUGUGAAUUCAGAACAAUUUUGGGUUUAUUAAAAAGAAAGGAAAAGAUGCAGCCCCCAAAUGUGUGAGGCAGAAUCAGACUAUGAGUAUGAAAAAUUUUUAGGAUGGUAACAUGUCUUAGUAUUUGUCUCUUACUGGAGAAUGCUGCAACCUGAGAGCUCACAGGUAUGCUAAGAGCACUCUCGGGUGUGAAUGCCCAUGUACUCCCUCUCCCAUCACUCAGGGCCUCUCUGACCUCCUGAAAAGAAA
rnacentral:lncRNA from 1 species